GCCUUCGUGGUGUAACGGUAGCACACUCGGCGCGUAUUCGAGAGGUCCAGGUUCGAGUCCCGGAGAGGUCA
rnacentral:tRNA from 1 species